rnacentral:rRNA from 1 species
CUGUGAACUGCGAAUGGCUCAUUAAAUCAGUUAUAGUUCUAUUCUCGAUGGUAUCUUACUACAUGGAUAACUGUGGUAAUUCUAGAGCUAAUACAUGCGUUAAAAACCCGACUUUUGAAGGGUUGUAUUUAUUAGAUACAAAACCAAUUCAUGGAAACAUGAGAUUGGUGAGUCAUAAUAACUUUUUCGAAUCGCAUGGUCUUGAACCGGCGAUGCAUCAUUCAAAUAUCUGCCCUAUCAACUUUGGAUGGGAGGAUAGAGGCCUACCAUGGUUUUAACGGGUAACGGGGAAUAAGGGUUCGAUUCCGGAGAGGGAGCCUGAGAAACGGCUACCACAUCCAAGGAAGGGAGCAGGCGCGCAACUUACCCAAUCCCGACACGGGGAGGUAGUGACAAUAAAUAACAAUACAGGGCUCUUUUGGGUCUUGGAAUUGGAAUGAGUACAAUUUAAAUACCUUAACG